rnacentral:lncRNA from 1 species
AAUAAAAUUUCAUUUUAAAAAAGUAUCUCUUCUCUCAUAGAUAAAUGGACCUUGAACAAAGUCUCUUGGGAGGAGGGACAUGGAGCUAUUAAUUCAACAGAAGCAUAAACUCUCCAACAUCCAGUGUCAGGAAACAAUGAUGAUUUCUGGAAAGAGCAGCAUGGAUGAGGAGCACAUUGACAUGUAGGAAGAUUGGGAACAUUGGUCUUUCAUCAUGGGUUUUUUGACUCAAGAUGCUGCAACUUCCAGGGUGCCUCAGUAGAGAAAAAGUCAAACCUGAAGAUGAAAGGUUUUGAAUUCAAAUCUGUCUGUGUGACCCAAGGUGGCAAAAAUACCACUAAGGGACAGAAAGCAUCCAAGCUCACUUCCCCCAUUCUGCUAAAGAAGGAAGAGCAGGGUGAGUGAAAAUUUAGCUCGAUGUCCUGUCAUUAUGGCUUGUAAAUGAUUGUUCUUCUUAUUGUGGUGUGUAUCAUUAAUCCCACUAUUUGUUCCAUUUUAAAUACAGAAAUUAUUAAAAUUAUAUGAAGCAAAAAGCUCUUUG